UGGGUUCUGUAUUGUGUUCUGUUGAGCUGUUUGUCCAUUCCUUCACCAAUAUCACUCUCUUCAUUGCUUUAGCUUUGUGGUAAAGCUAACAAUAAUGAGUGUACUGCUCCUAAACAAGGAGUAUCUGCAUUUAUUUAAUAUUUUUUAUUCUUCUCAACCGUGAUCUAAAGUUUUCUGAAUGCAUAUUUGUAUGUAUUUUGUUAGAUUUAUACCUAAUAAAUUAAAUUUUGGGAAUGCUAUUGUAAAUGGUAUUUUUUUCAAAUUUCAAGUUCAAAUUAUUCCUAUACAUUAUUGCUGAUGAUAGAAAGAAAAUCAGGCAGUGUGUGGUGGCUCACGCCCGUAAUCCUAGCACUUUGGGAGGCCUAGUUGGGAGGAUCAUUUGAGCUUGGGAGUUCUAGACCAGCCUGGGCAACAUAGUUAGACCUGCCCCGCCCAUAAAAAAUAAAAUAAUAAAUAAAGGAAAAUCAGGUGGUGCCGGACACAGUUGUUCACACCUGUAAUCCCAGUGUGUUGGGAGGCUGAGGCUGGAGAAUUUCUUGAACCCGGGAGCUGGAGGCUGAACUCGGGAGCUGUGAUUACACCACUGCACUUCAGCAUGGGUGACAGAGCGAGACCCUGUCUCUUAAAGAGAAAAGAAAGAAAAUCAAUUAAGUUUUGCCUACUGGCCAUCUUUUUUUUGAGAUGGAGUUUGGCUCUGUCACCCAGGUUGGAGUGCAGUGACAUGAUCUUGGCUCACUGCAACCUGCGCCUCCUGGGUUCGAGCAAUCCUCCUGCCUCAGCCUCCUGAGUAGCUGGGAUUACAGGCACGUGCCGCCAUGCCCAGCUAAUUUUUGUAUUUUUAGUAUAGACGCGGUUUCACCAUGUUAGCCAGGCUGGUCUCAAACUCUGGACCUGAAGUAAUCCGCCCGCUUCAGCCUCCCAAAAUGCUGGGAUUACAGGCAUGAACUGGCCAUCUUCUUUGCUUCCUUGCUCCAUGAGUUCCGAUCAAGGCAUGGGAUGGUGGGCUCCAUUUCAGUCGUAAUUUCCAAAAUCCACAGCCUGGAAAAAUCUAGACGCUGAUUUUCAGAGACUCCCCAUGGCUGCCGCAAGGGGGCGCAUGGCCCCUGGCAACUCGGGGCGCCGUGCACGCACCGCGUCUCAUCCACACAGCGGCAGUCACUUUGCGGCCACUAUGAGGACUGAGCUUCCUCUCCCCAGGACCCGCAUGGGAGAGACCGCGGCUUCGAGACACCUGGGGACACCUGGGGACACCUGGGGCGGCGUCCGCGGUGAGGACUGGGAGACGCUGCUGCAUCUCCGGGACACCACUUGGGGCCGAGGCCAAGGGAUUCUCCACGGCUGCCAUUAGGGGGCCCGGCCAAACCCGGAGCGCCACAGUAGAACUGCGUCUGAUCCGUACAGCGGCAUCCCUGGGUGUGAGGACUGUGAGGACGGAGUUUUCUCUCCUCAGGACCCACCCAGGAGGGGCCAUGGCUUCGAGACACCUGAGGACACCUGGGGCCACGUCCGCGAUGAGGACAUCUCUGGGACACCUGGGGCUGCAUCUCCGGGACACCUGGGGCUGACCCUGGUACGGGGAAAGGAGGAGGAACACAGAGACGCCCUCGUGAGGUCGGGGACCAGCAGGCACCACAGUCUAAGGCCAAUGAAACAGGCGCCCCUAGAUGAGUGCUCGGUGUUUGUUUUGUUUUGUUUUCUUUUGAGAAGGAGUUUCGCUCUUGCUCCCCAGGCUGGAGUGCGAUGUCGCGAUCUCGACUCACUGCAACCUCUGCCUCCCGGGUUCAAGCGAUUCUCCUGCCUCAGCCUCCCGAGUAGCUGGGAUUACAGUCAUGCGCCAUCACGCCCGGCUAAUUUUGUAGUUUUAGUAGAGACGGUGUUUCUCCAUGUUGAUCAGGCUGGUCUCGAACUCCUGAUCUCAGGUGAUCCACCCACCUCGGCCUCCCAAAGUGCUGGAAUUACAGGCGUGACCCACUGGGCCCGGCCAGUGCUUUGUGUUUUAAGGCUCUUUUGUUAACGCAGUGGAAACAACACAGGAAAUGGAAAAGCAGGCACAUUAUCAUUCUCAGGCCACUGCAUUUAGCCUGGGCGACAGAGCGAGACCUUGUCUCAAAAAACAAAAACAAAUGAAAACAAAAACAAACCAUUUUGUGUGUCUAAUGGAAGUGACCUCGUCAACAACAGUCUUUUGUUGAGAAAGUCUGUUUAAUUGGCAGUGUAUUUGUAAUGGUACAUAAAAUGACGUCUGCUUUAUAAGCAUUCUCAUUCCUAUAUUAGAUGAAAUGUAUUAACUAUAUCAAGCUUUGAUAUUAUACCAUAAAAUUACUUGAAGAAAGUCACUACUCUUUUUUUUCCUUUACCUUGACCAUUUUAAAUAAAAUCAUAUUUCAUUAAGGUUAGUUAAUACUGAGCUGUAAAUAUGUAUGGUCCUGGGGUCUUUUCUUUCUUUUUUCCUUUUUUUUUUUUUUUUUUUGAAACGGAGUCUCGCUCUGUCUCCCAGGCUGGAGUGCAGUGGCGCAAUCUCGGCUCACCGCAACCUCCACCUCCUGGGUUUGAGCAAUUCUCUGCCUCAGCCUCCUAAGUAGCUGGGAUUAUAGUCACUUACCACCA
rnacentral:lncRNA from 1 species